GUCUCCAGCCAUACCACCCUGAAUGUGCCCGGUGUCAUCUGAUCUCUGAAGCUAAGCAAGGUGGGGCUUGGUCAGUACUUGGUGGGGAGAAACAGUGUGCACA
rnacentral:rRNA from 1 species